AACGAACGCUGGCGGCAUGCCUAACACAUGCAAGUCGAACGAGACCUUCGGGUCUAUUGGCGCACGGGUGCGUAACGCGUGGGAACCUGCCCUUAGGUUCGGAAUAACUCCCCGAAAGGGGUGCUAAUACCGGAUAAGGUCUUCGGACCAAAGAUUUAUCGCCUUUGGAUGGGCCCGCGUUGGAUUAGCUAUUUGGUAGGGUAAAAGCCUACUAAGGCGACGAUUAAUAGCUGGGAUGAGAGGAUGAUCACCCACACUGGGAGUGAGAGACGGCCCAGACUCCUACGGAAGGCAGCAGUGGGGAAUAUAGGACAGUGGGCGAAAGCAUGAUGCAGCAAUGCCGCGUGAGUGAUGAAGGCCGUAGGGUUGUAAAGCUCUUUUACCCGGGAUGAUAAUGACAGUACCGGGAGAAUAAGCGCCGGCUAACUCCGUG
rnacentral:rRNA from 1 species